rnacentral:rRNA from 1 species
CCCGCUGAACUUAAGCAUAUCAUUAAGCGGAGGAAAAGAAACUAACAAGGAUUCCCCCAGUAACGGCGAGUGAAGCGGGAAGAGCUCAAGCUUAAAAUCUCCAUGUUUACAUGGCGAAUUGUAGUCUAUUGAGGCUGUUGUCAGCAUAGCGAUCUGGGACAAGUCCCUUGGAAAAGGGCAGCAUGGAGGGUGAUACUCCCGUCUCUGCUCAGAUUGUCUGUGUGUACGAUACGCUUUCUUUGAGUCGAGUUGUUUGGGAAUACAGCUCAAAGUAGGUGGUAAAUUCCAUCUAAAGCUAAAUAUUGGUGCGAGACCGAUAGCGAACAAGUACCGUGAGGGAAAGAUGAAAAGAACUUUGAAAAGAGAGUUAAAGAGUACCUGAAACUGUUGAAAGGGAACCGUAUCGUUUCCAGUGUUGUAUCCUGUGCAUAUUUCAUUAGCGGAGUAAUUUGCUGGUGCCCUGUGCAUGGGUGUGACGUCAGAGUCAGUUUGUAUGCUGCGGGAGAUGGACAGUAAGGAGGUGCGUCACUUCGGUGAAAGUUAUACCUUGCUGUCUAGUAGCCGUGGUUGAGACUGAGGUGCCUACAACAUGCUCUGGGGUUCUAUGUUGUCUCGUUUUGGUGACUGCUUGGAUAGCUUGCUAUGUCUGUGGUUAAUCAGAGCGAUUGAUGAUGUUGAUAACCUCUGCUGUUCGGGACUCUGGCGAAAUGGAGCGAUACGACCCGUCUUGAAACACGG